AUUCAACUUGUAAACACCCCCUUAAGAAGUACAGACAGAGUUCUCUUGUCCUCUUUCGCUUCCGGCUUUUGGCAAGGAGAGCUCACAGAAACAGAUGAAGAGGACUUCUGCCUUUGAAUAACUCAUCCUUAAAAAUUAAAUCCCUCGACUUUAUUGACCCAUGCACACCUCGGAGAGAUGUGAGAUGGGAGGAGAAGAUCUAAUGACAGAUUUCCGGGCAGCUGGCAUUAGAGAAAUAGAAAA